UUUGUCUCCUAGUUUUUGAGGUUCUGAUUUGAGGUGAUUUUCAUAUCCUUAAGAGCACACUUAAGCAGAUUUUCCUGUAUUGAGAGUUGUUAAUUUUCUUGUUGUUCCAGGGUGGGUUUUUCUCUGAUGUGUGUGGGGCCCCCAUUUUCUGACUCUUCUCUGACUUUCCCGUGGCUCUGGAUGGCUUUACCGCCUCUGUCCCUUCGCCCUGGUGGGGUCGGGCCCCGGCUCAGUGGUCCCAGGCAGCUCGGGUGUCGGAACCCCCAGACAGUUCACGCGACAAAGAAUCACGCGGGUCAACCUCAGGGACCUCAUAUUUUGUUUAGAAAAUGAACGUGAGACAAGCCAUUCACUGCUGCUCUACAAAGCAUUCCUUAAGUGACACAGGAGGACGCCUGGGGACUUUUUAUAUAUUUGCAGAUUACGCCUUUUUGUAACAAGCAAAUGGGAUAUUGUUUAAAAAACAGCCGCCUCUUUACAAUGGAACAGUUUUAUAUUCCUGUUUCUAAAUCAACUCUUCAGUGUGAAAGAAAAUACGUUUCUGUAACAGAGAGAACACAAAGGCCUGUGGAUACUCUUAAAGGACAAUUAAAUCUUAACUCAUCUUGAUUGAGUGGCCUUCUUGCCAAACAAGCCAUAUAUAAAGACUGAUGGAAUCGUUAGCAAAUAAUUAGCUGCCCUCUGUCAACUC
rnacentral:sRNA from 1 species